CCUGGACUCAAACCCGGCCAAAACCCAGUUAGGGACUCUCCACGUCUGAUGUCCCUCAUCGCCCUUCGCCUCCCUGCUCCCAUCACUGAUACAGGGCAGUUCUCCCUACGCUGUUUUCCAAUCCCUGGAGAUCUGGCUUUCUAAUUUAUUAAUACUUCUCUAUUUUACUCACUUGGCUAUUUUCAAGGCUUAACCUCUUUGACUUGACUAUCCCUUUGCAAAUCCCUCAGCCAUUCUCACGGAGAACGCAAUGGCAACCCACUUCAGUACUCUUGCCUGGAAAAUCCCAUGGACAGAGGAGCCUGGUAGCCCACAGUCCAUGGGGUCGCUAAGAGUCGGACACGACUGAGCGACUUCACUUUCCCUUUUCACUUUCAUGCAUUGGAGAAGGAAAUGGCAACCCACUCCCAGUGUUCUUGCCUGGAGAAUCCCAGGGAUGGGGGAGCCUGGUGGGCUGCCGUCUACCGGGUCGCACAGGGUCCGACAGGACUAAAGCGACUUAGCAGGAGCAGGAGCAGGAGCAGGAGCAGCAGCAGCAGCAGCAGCAGCAGCAGCAGCAGCCAUUCUCAGUUUUCCUAUUGGUUCUCCCUGAUGCUUUUCUCCUCAGUUGCAGUCAUUUCUCUCAGUCCUUCUGACUCUGCUUCUCCGGAUCCUCCUGCCUCCUGAAUUUACUGAGUGGGCCACAGAACGAGACGCCCCCGGACCGGAAGAUCACCUUUUCCGACCGAGCUGAAUUGGGCAUGAAACAGCACUGGCUGUCACAUGGCUGGCCCAGGUCACCUACCCUAUACGGGGUGAGGGGACGGGCUGACAGGAAAGGGGGCUGCUGCGGGGCAGAAGGACCGGCCUCAGGAGACGCGAGGACAGACGGGCUGGGAGGGACGGGGCUCAGGAGCGAGACGGACUCUCCGGAAUCCCGGGACCGGGGAGACGGCGCGCGGCCUAUCUGGGCUCUGCCUCUAGCGGUCGAGAAGACGACGCGGCGGGCGCGACUCCAACUCGCGAGAGAGGGCUUUACUUGGCGAGGCCAGAGCCUCCUGGAAAUUGUGAGGAUUUGGGCCGCUUUGAGCUCCCCCUCGGGAUGAGAGGAC
rnacentral:lncRNA from 1 species